GAGCGUAUAGCUCAGUUAGCAAUUCCGCUGACUUUGGAAAUAAGAGUUCCAAAGUUCGAGCCCUUGUACGCUCAUCA
rnacentral:tRNA from 1 species